GCCAUUGUAGCUCAGCAGGGAGAGGAGUCAUCAUUCGAUGCUCGCCCGAAAGCGUUGCACUGAAGAUGCAAAGGUCCGCGGUUCGAUCCCGCGCGAUGGCA